rnacentral:rRNA from 1 species
AUGGUGAACCCACCGUAGGCCUUCGGGCCUAUGUCUUAUCAUAUAAUCUGAAUGUCUAAUAGAAUGUAAACCCAUUUCGUUGCCUUGAAAACGUAACGAAAGAAAACUAUACAACUUUCAACAACGGAUCUCUUGGCUCUCGCAUCGAUGAAGAACGCAGCGAAAUGCGAUAAGUAAUGUGAAUUGCAGAUUUUCAGUGAAUCAUCGAAUCUUUGAACGCACCUUGCGCCCCUUGGUAUUCCGAGGGGCAUGCCUGUUUGAGUGUCAUUAAAUCCUCAACCCCUCCGAUUCGUUUCGGUGGGGAUUGGACUUGGAGCGUGCUGGCGAAGGUCGGCUCCUCUUUAAAUGCAUCAGCGGAGAAAAUGCCUUUUGCGCCUCUGGCCGUUCAGCGUGAUAAUGAUGUUGCGCUGCGGUCGAGCUUAAGGUCCGCUUCCAAAGGUCCUCGGACAAAUAUACAUAUGACUUUUGACCUCAAAUCAGGUAGGACUACCCGCUGAACUUAAGCAUAUCAAUAAGGCGGAGGAA